rnacentral:rRNA from 1 species
UACGUAGGCAGCAAGCGUUGUUCGGAGUUACUGGGCGUAAAGGGUGUGUAGGCGGUUGGUUAAGUUUGGUGUGAAAUCUCCCGGCUCAACCGGGAGGGUGCGCCGAAUACUGAAUGACUAGAGUGCGGGAGAGGAAAGUGGAAUUCCUGGUGUAGCGGUGAAAUGCGUAGAUAUCAGGAGGAACACCGGUGGUGUAGACGGCUUUCUGGACCGUAACUGACGCUGAGACACGAAAGCGUGGGUAGCAAACAGG